UCCUGGUUUCCCAGGCAGUCUGAUUAGAGUGCCACCUUACGAUAGGCAACUAAUCACAAGGGUUGCGCUCGUUCAAGGACUUAACCCGACGUCUCACGACACGAGCUGACGACAGCCAUGCAGCACCUGUGUAACCGUCCGUAUUGCUACGGAACCCAAUGUUUCCACCAGUAGCGAUUACAUGUCAAACCCAGGUAAGGUUCCUCGCGUAGUGUCGAAUUAAACCACAUGUUCCACCGCUUGUGCGGACCCCCGUCAAUUCCUUUGAGUUUUAAUCUUGCGACCGUACUUCCCAGGUGGAUCACUUAACGCGUUAGCUUCGACACAGACCCUGCUAAGCAAGGCCCACAUCUAGUGAUCAUCGUUUACGGCGUGGACUAC
rnacentral:misc_RNA from 1 species